AAUCCAUAGGUUAAUGAGGCGAACCGGGGGAACUGAAACAUCUAAGUACCCCGAGGAAAAGAAAUCAACCGAGAUUCCCCCAGUAGCGGCGAGCGAACGGGGAGGAGCCCAGAGCCUGAAUCAGCAUGUGUGUUAGUGGAAGCGUCUGGAAAGGCGCGCGAUACAGGGUGACAGCCCCGUACACAAAAGCGCAUGUGCUGUGAGCUCGAUGAGUAGGGCGGGACACGUGGUAUCCUGUCUGAAUAUGGGGGGACCAUCCUCCAAGGCUAAAUACUCCUGACUGACCGAUAGUGAACCAGUACCGUGAGGGAAAGGCGAAAAGAACCCCGGCGAGGGGAGUGAAAAAGAACCUGAAACCGUGUACGUACAAGCAGUGGGAGCACCCUUUGGGUGUGACUGCGUACCUUUUGUAUAAUGGGUCAGCGACUUAUAUUCUGUAGCAAGGUUAACCGAAUAGGGGAGCCGGAGGGAAACCGAGUCUUAACCGGGCGUUAAGUUGCAGGGUAUAGACCCGAAACCCGGUGAUCUAGCCAUGGGCAGGUUGAAGGUUGGGUAACACUAACUGGAGGACCGAACCGACUAAUGUUGAAAAAUUAGCGGAUGACCUGUGGCUGGGGGUGAAAGGCCAAUCAAACCGGGAGAUAGCUGGUUCUCCCCGAAAGCUAUUUAGGUAGCGCCUCGUGAAUUCAUCUCCGGGGGUAGAGCACUGUUUCGGCUAGGGGGCCAUCCCGGCUUACCAACCCGAUGCAAACUGCGAAUACCGGAGAAUGUUAUCACGGGAGACACACGGCGGGUGCUAACGUCCGUCGUGAAGAGGGAAACAACCCAGACCGCCAGCUAAGGUCCCAAAGUCAUGGUUAAGUGGGAAACGAUGUGGGAAGGCCCAGACAGCCAGGAUGUUGGCUUAGAAGCAGCCAUCAUUUAAAGAAAGCGUAAUAGCUCACUGGUCGAGUCGGCCUGCGCGGAAGAUGUAACGGGGCUAAACCAUGCACCGAAGCUGCGGCAGCGACACUGUGUGUUGUUGGGUAGGGGAGCGUUCUGUAAGCCUGUGAAGGUGUGUCGUGAGGCAUGCUGGAGGUAUCAGAAGUGCGAAUGCUGACAUAAGUAACGAUAAAGCGGGUGAAAAGCCCGCUCGCCGGAAGACCAAGGGUUCCUGUCCAACGUUAAUCGGGGCAGGGUGAGUCGACCCCUAAGGCGAGGCCGAAAGGCGUAGUCGAUGGGAAACGGGUUAAUAUUCCCGUACUUGGUGUUACUGCGAAGGGGGGACGGAGAAGGCUAUGUUGGCCGGGCGACGGUUGUCCCGGUUUAAGCGUGUAGGUGUGUGUUCCAGGUAAAUCCGGUUCACUUUAACACUGAGGCGUGACGACGAGGCACUACGGUGCUGAAGCAACAAAUGCCCUGCUUCCAGGAAAAGCCUCUAAGCAUCAGGUAACAUCAAAUCGUACCCCAAACCGACACAGGUGGUCAGGUAGAGAAUACCAAGGCGCUUGAGAGAACUCGGGUGAAGGAACUAGGCAAAAUGGUGCCGUAACUUCGGGAGAAGGCACGCUGACACGUAGGUGAAGUGAUUUACUCAUGGAGCUGAAGUCAGUCGAAGAUACCAGCUGGCUGCAACUGUUUAUUAAAAACACAGCACUGUGCAAACACGAAAGUGGACGUAUACGGUGUGACGCCUGCCCGGUGCCGGAAGGUUAAUUGAUGGGGUCAGCGCAAGCGAAGCUCCUGAUCGAAGCCCCGGUAAACGGCGGCCGUAACUAUAACGGUCCUAAGGUAGCGAAAUUCCUUGUCGGGUAAGUUCCGACCUGCACGAAUGGCGUAAUGAUGGCCAGGCUGUCUCCACCCGAGACUCAGUGAAAUUGAACUCGCUGUGAAGAUGCAGUGUACCCGCGGCAAGACGGAAAGACCCCGUGAACCUUUACUAUAGCUUGACACUGAACAUUGAGCCUUGAUGUGUAGGAUAGGUGGGAGGCUUUGAAGUGUGGACGCCAGUCUGCAUGGAGCCGACCUUGAAAUACCACCCUUUAAUGUUUGAUGUUCUAACGUGGACCCGUUACCCGGGUUGCGGACAGUGUCUGGUGGGUAGUUUGACUGGGGCGGUCUCCUCCUAAAGAGUAACGGAGGAGCACGAAGGUUGGCUAAUCCUGGUCGGACAUCAGGAGGUUAGUGCAAUGGCAUAAGCCAGCUUGACUGCGAGCGUGACGGCGCGAGCAGGUGCGAAAGCAGGUCAUAGUGAUCCGGUGGUUCUGAAUGGAAGGGCCAUCGCUCAACGGAUAAAAGGUACUCCGGGGAUAACAGGCUGAUACCGCCCAAGAGUUCAUAUCGACGGCGGUGUUUGGCACCUCGAUGUCGGCUCAUCACAUCCUGGGGCUGAAGUAGGUCCCAAGGGUAUGGCUGUUCGCCAUUUAAAGUGGUACGCGAGCUGGGUUUAGAACGUCGUGAGACAGUUCGGUCCCUAUCUGCCGUGGGCGCUGGAGAACUGAGGGGGGCUGCUCCUAGUACGAGAGGACCGGAGUGGACGCAUCACUGGUGUUCGGGUUGUCAUGCCAAUGGCACUGCCCGGUAGCUAAAUGCGGAAGAGAUAAGUGCUGAAAGCAUCUAAGCACGAAACUUGCCCCGAGAUGAGUUCUCCCUGAGACUUAGAGUCUCCUGAAGGAACGUUGAAGACGACGACGUUG
rnacentral:rRNA from 1 species